rnacentral:rRNA from 2 species
CCUACGGGAGGCAGCAGUGGGGAAUAUUGGACAAUGGGCGAAAGCCUGAUCCAGCCAUGCCGCGUGUGUGAAGAAGGCCUUUUGGUUGUAAAGCACUUUAAGCGAGGAGGAGGCUACUUGGAUUAAUACUCUAGGAUAGUGGACGUUACUCGCAGAAUAAGCACCGGCUAACUCUGUGCCAGCAGCCGCGGUAAU